AGGACGAACGCUGGCGGCGCGCUUAACACAUGCAAGUCGAGCGGAAAGGCCCUUCGGGGUACUCGAGCGGCGAACGGGUGAGUAACACGUGAGCAACCUGCCCUUAGCUCCGGGAUAGCUCCGGGAAACCGGAAUUAAUACCGGAUACGACCACGGCCGACAUCUGCUGUGGUGGAAAGGAUUCCGGCUAAGGAUGGGCUCGCGGCCUAUCAGCUAGUUGGUGGAGUAACGGCCCACCAAGGCGACGACGGGUA
rnacentral:rRNA from 1 species